CAGCGCAAUUUUUUCUUCUUCUGGCACUCAGGGGCUGAAAAUGUUUGGAUCUCAUGGUGUGGUCGAAGAGUUAAUCUGAAAGGACGACCGCCAUUGAUGGACAGCCUUGUCCAUCAUCAUCAACUCGGGAUUAAUCAUUUUCACCAGACUCCAGCCAGGGAGUGGUUUGAAACUGAGAUGGUGCUGCGUGCGAGUUUGGAGUAUUUCUUAUUUUUCACCAUCUUUGCCAUUAUAGUGAUUUGUGUUAAGGACUAGAAGGAUGCUAGGGAACAUUUGGACCAUGGUGGAUGGAUGAGGAAGUUGUUAGUUGGUGCUUUAUGGUGAUUAUUAUGUUUUUUCUUCCAAAUGGGAUCGUCAGAUCUCAUGAGACAAUAUCCAAAUUAGGCUCAGGAUUCUUUCUUCUCGCUCAAGUUGUUCUCUUGCUGGAUUUUUUGCUAUGAUGGAACAACAACUGGGUUUGAUAAGGAUGAAAGUCAAAAAGAUUGAGUAUGUUGGCUGCUAUGAAAAUGGGAAUCAUGAUACCAUCAACAGAUUUACCUGGUUAGGGUUGCUUAGUUAUUGAGUUUCAUACGCCUCCGGUUUGUUCGCCACUUGUUAGGCCUGUCCGGCCUGCUGAGCAAGCACCUGUUAUUGCUAGACAACUAUCUGAUAUUAUUUUAAGGACAUAUACAGUUUGGAUGCAGAUGGCUCAGUUUUCGAUGCUGCACUACUUUCAGCAGUUGCUGCAUUCUCUAGUUUGUCCCUGUCUUGUCUAUAACUGAUUAGGGGAAAGUAAUUUGCAGUACAUGAGCCGCUCAACAAAAGAAAGGAGGAAAUUUACUCUGAACUGCAUUCCAUUCUCAUUGAUGGCAUUUCAAUAUUUAAGUUUCAUUUACACCUAAAGUGAAAAAAACUCGAUGGUUGCACAGUUGCACCCUUUUACCUUUCUUCCUUUUUUCUUGUUACACUGUUAGACCCAAUUAGUUCUAGGACUUAACCAGCAUGUAUGUGUAUGACUCACAUAUAUAUGAUCAAAUGAAUCUUCCCGAGUAUAGUCUCCGAUAUUUGUCAUCCACCCUUGAAAAUAACCAUAUCACUAACACCUGUUGCCCCAUAGAAAGUUUUUUUUUUUUUCCUUUUCAAGUAACCAUAAAGGUUAUUUGGAUUCAGAAUUCACCACAAGAUUUUUGAAACUUUGCAUGGUGUUUGAAAGAUUAGAGGAUUGUCCUCAUAGAAUGGAAAGGUGUUGAAUAAUCUAAGUUCUGGGUUCAGGUGCACGGUGUAAGAAAAGUGUAGUUUGGUAUGGUAACUAGUAAAAUUUUGGACAAAAUGAUCCAUCUCAAAAGCAAACCACUGAAGCAGCAUACUAGAUGGUUUAACAUGCUCUAACACCCUCAUUGAUGAUGACCUUAGCUGUAUGCUCGUGACGCUAGUGACAAAACUCUGUUUGGCCAUUCGGCUUGAAUAGUUCCCAGCUAGCUAUUCAGAAAUUGAUAAUAAAGAAGUGGGGUUGUGUUGGACUUGCAAAUGAUAGAGAAAAAAACUUUUAUCAGAUUCUGAGCAAAGCAGUUUCAGACAUGGGAGUUGAUUAGGUUUAUGAAUAGUCUAAGAGAGAAAUCCUCAUGCUAAAAGCAGUUAGCACAUAUGGCUCUAUAAUUA